AUUGAACGCUGGCGGCAGGCCUAACACAUGCAAGUCGAACGAGUGGCAGACGGGUGAGUAAUGUCUGGGAAACUGCCUGAUGGAGGGUGAUCACUACUGGAAACGGUAGCUAAUACCGCAUACCAUCAGAUGUGCCCAGAUGGGAUUCGCUAGUUGGUGGGAUAACGGCUCACCAAGGCGACGAUCCCUCGCUGGUCUGAGAGGAUGACCAGCCACACUGGAACUGAGACACGGUCCAGACUCCUACGUGAGGCAGCAGUGGGGAAUAUGGAACAAUGGGCGCAAGCCUGAUGCAGCCAUGCCGCGUGUAUGAAGAAGGCCUUCGGGUUGUAAAGUACUUUCAGCGGGGAGGCGUUACCCGCAGAAGAAGCACCGGCUAACUCCGUGCCAGCCGCCGCGGUAAUAC
rnacentral:rRNA from 1 species